rnacentral:pre_miRNA from 1 species
UUACUACUCCCUCCGUCCCAAAAUUCUUAUCUUAUGUUUGUCUAGAAAUGAAUGUAUCAAAAUACUAAAACGUGACUAGAUACAUUCAUAUCUAGAUAAAUCUAAGACAAGAAUUUUGAGACGGAGGGAGUAUUUA